UAAGGAGGAUGCAAGCGUUAUCCGGAAUGAUUGGGCGUAAAGCGUCCGCAGGUGGCUGUGUAAGUCUGCUGUUAAAGAGUCUAGCUCAACUAGAUACAAGCAGUGGAAACUACACGGCUAGAGUACGUUCGGGGCAGAGGGAAUUCCAGGUGUAGCGGUGAAAUGCGUAGAUAUCUGGAGGAACACCGGUGGCGAAGGCGGCAUCCUGGACCGAUACUGACACUGAGGAGCGAAAGCCAGGGGAGCAAACGGG
rnacentral:rRNA from 1 species